UUGGAGAGGGCAGAGUCAGUGGAGGUGGAAUAGACUAGACUAAUCUUGUAGCGGGGUCUCCGGCCGCCUCUACCACCGAGGCGAGCACGCCCCUGCCGGCCUGCUCUGUCGUCGGUGAGCACGCGCAGCGGCCCGAAGAGGCGCGUACUCGCGGGGCAAAGUGCGCCAUCGACCCGAGGUGCCUUGGUAUAGAAUGAAGUGAAGAGAGCAGAGUAUCUUGGUCGUACUAAUCAAUUCAUCAUAUUAUGUGCGCAAUAAGAUUUUGCUAUGCUUUCACCGUCGAUGCCCACUGGUUGGAUCAUGCUUCUGUUUAUGAGCUCAUUGAAGUAACUCUCUCGUAGCUCAAAUGGGCCAAUUUCUCGUUUGCGUGGCACACAAAACCUUCAGCUAUCCAUCUCCAUACCAGUUGGUCUCUCUUAAUUUUGUAAUCUUCUGGAAAUAUGCUUACAUAUAAUAAAUGAUGCGAAGGUAGAUCAUAGAAACAUGAACACAAUUCUUAAUCUAAAGCAAGAUGGUGUAGGCUACUUUUUGUGAUUUAACACAAAUAGCAGGCACACAUGCACCAAUACUAAGAAAAUUAGCAAAGAAAAUGAGUAAAAGAGGCACUUGACUUGUAGAUUAUAAAAGAGUGAUGAUCUAGAAGUCAACCCUCUUUUACCAGUAGUUUUGAUCUACCUUCUCAUCCAUAGGAUUAGUUAUUAUAUCUAAGCAUGUUUUUAGAAGAUUAGAAGAUUAAGCAAGCUCAUUCGAUAUGUAAGGUGGAUAGUUUGAGGUUUUGUUUAUCAUGAAAAACAAGGGAUUAGCAAGUUUGAGCUCGGUGGUAGAAUUGCUUAGUGAGAUCGUGAAUAGGAGCAUGAUUCAACCAAUUGACAUCAAUGUUGAUAAAGGCAUGGAAAAAUCUUAUUGUAUACAUGAUAUGGUGAUUGAUUUCAUGGCACUGGGUGAAAGCCUUCUAUCCAAAGGCGGCAAGAUGUGAAGAUUAUCCAUCCGAAAGACCAUGACAGGUAGCAGCUAUGUCACAAUGAGGUCUGUUGCAAUUGUUGAUUGGGUGUAGCUUGUUGAGUGCUCCAAGUUCUACAUGCCCUGGAUUUAGAAUAUUGUGCUGCAUGUCUCCAUUCUUGGCAGUCACAAUGAUUCAAGAAUACUGUGUUUGCAAUGACAUGAAGCUCCUAUUGUAUUUCUACCAACUAGUGCUGAAUUAGUCAUGAGUCUCUUGGUGUAUUUGUACCCACUGAUGCUGAAUUAUAGUUGAGUCGAGAACUGUCAAAGUUCUGUGUCGGCUCCUGCAGUUAGCUCAUGAGGAACUUGUUUACCCCAUUCCUUUAUUUUGAUGCUGGCUUGUUAUACAUUGUGUCUCUUUUCUUUAUAGCAGUAGCAGCUUUUGAAGUCUUCUUGCUCUGCUCUUUGUAUGAAAUGUAAGGUAAUUGUUCUGAAAUGAUAUGUAUAUGUUGCUGUGUAUUUUUUUAA